rnacentral:rRNA from 1 species
UAAUACGGAGGGUGCGAGCGUUAAUCGGAAUAACUGGGCGUAAAGGGCACGCAGGCGGUGACUUAAGUGAGGUGUGAAAGCCCCGGGCUUAACCUGGGAAUUGCAUUUCAUACUGGGUCGCUAGAGUACUUUAGGGAGGGGUAGAAUUCCACGUGUAGCGGUGAAAUGCGUAGAGAUGUGGAGGAAUACCGAAGGCGAAGGCAGCCCCUUGGGAAUGUACUGACGCUCAUGUGCGAAAGCGUGGGGAGCAAACAGGAUUAGAUACCCUGGUAGUCCACGCUGUAAACGAUGUCGAUUUGGGGGUUGAGCUUUGAGCUUGGCGCCCGUAGCUAACGUGAUAAAUCGACCGCCUGGGGAGUACGGCCGCAAGGUUAAA